rnacentral:lncRNA from 1 species
AAGGGUAGAAAUCAGAUUUGGACUCAAGACAGCAACAAGGCAGCUGUCAAUUCGAACUCCAAACCGAUUCCAACUCGAACUCAGCACCACGUGGGAUUCGGUCUUAAACAAACUCGGAGUAGGACUCAAACUUGAACACAAACAUGUAUUCAGAUUCAGCCAAUAGAAGGUUUUAUAUGGUAGCACACGGCUGUGACUAGAACGUGACAAGAACUCGAAGCUCUAAA